ACUGGGUUUAAAGGGUGCGUAGGAGGGCAGGUAAGUCAGUGGUGAAAUCUCACAAGCUUAACUUGGAAACUGCCGUUGAUACUAUCUAUCUUGAAUAUCGUGGAGGUGGGCGGAAUAUGUCAUGUAGCGGUGAAAUGCUUAGAUAUGACAUAGAACACCCAUUGCGAAGGCAGCUUACUACGGAGACAUUGACACUGAGGCACGAAAGCGUGGGGAUCAAACAGGAUUAGAUACCCUGGUAGUCCACGCCCUAAACGAUGAUUACUCGACAUUAGCGAUAUUACUGUUAGUGUCUAAGCGAAAGCAUUAAGUAAUCCACCUGGGAAGUACGACCGCAAGGUUGAAACUCAAAGGAAUUGGCGGGGGUCCGCACAAGUGGUGGAGCAUGUGGUUUAAUUCGAUGAUACGCGAGGAACCUUACCUGGGCUAGAAUGCAUUCUGACCGCAAGUGAAAGCUUGUUUUGUAGCAAUACACAAUUUGUAAGGUGCUGCAUGGCUGUCGUCAUCUCGUGCCGUGAGGUGUUGGGUUAAGUCCCGCAACGAGCGCAACCCCUAUCUUUAGUUGCCAUCAGGUAAUGCUGGGAACUCUAAAGAAACUGCCGUCGUAAGACGUGAGGAAGGAGGGGAUGAUGUCAAGUCAUCAUGGCCUUUAUGCCCAGGGCUACACACGUGCUACAAUGGGAAGGACAAAGGGCUGCCACUUAGCGAUAAGGAGCUAAUCCCAAAAACCUUCUCUCAGUUCAGAUUGGAGUCUGCAACUCGACUCCAUGAAGCUGGAAUCACUAGUAAUCGUAUAUCA
rnacentral:rRNA from 1 species